UACGAAGGGGGCUAGCGUUGCUCGGAAUCACUGGGCGUAAAGGGUGCGUAGGCGGGUCUUUAAGUCAGGGGUGAAAUCCUGGAGCUCAACUCCAGAACUGCCUUUGAUACUGAGGAUCUUGAGUUCGGGAGAGGUGAGUGGAACUGCGAGUGUAGAGGUGAAAUUCGUAGAUAUUCGCAAGAACACCAGUGGCGAAGGCGGCUCACUGGCCCGAUACUGACGCUGAGGCACGAAAGCGUGGGGAGCAAACAGGAUUAGAUGACCCUAG
rnacentral:rRNA from 1 species